AUUUUUUGAACAGGUAAUCGAUUAUCAUCAUGCAUAAUCGAUUAUCAUGCAAUUUUUGGGCAGUGCUUUUCGAGCAGAUAAUCGAUUAUCACGAGUCAUAAUCGAUUAUCACUCUGAUAGAUUCAAAAAAAGAGUCGUUGGGGCGUCCCAUAACGGCUAUAAACGGUCAUAAACGGCUAGUUUUUCAUUUUUCCCAUAAAAAAAAGCCUCCCAUAAUCGAUUGUUAGUCACUUCUUUGCACUCAUAUACUGCUGAAAUCAAAUCUAGAGCUAAAACCCUCUCCAUUUCUCUUCACUCUCUCAAAGUCUCUCUACCUAAAACUCUCUUCAUGGCUGAUUCACGAAGACAUCACCGCAGAGCUGCUGGCGCAUCCUCUU
rnacentral:lncRNA from 1 species